AGAGAGGAGAGCUAUAUAGAUGGGGCACCGGUGGACUGCAGUGGCCAAACUGGGAAGAAUCUGGGUGUUGGGGGAGUCAGUACCUCGACCUCACCCUUUUCUCUCCUCUGAUCACCUACAGGCCUCUCCUUUGAAAGGGCUACAUCUAACUGGGAGCUGGAAGACAAAGUCAUGUAACUCAUGUGGGGCAGCAUUCCCAAGGGCCUGUGUAGCAGCCAGAAAGGUAGAGAGGGGAUCUGGAGAUGCAACAGAAGAGUCCAAAUACAUCUGCCAUAGCAUGAUUUUACUGCAAGUAUUUCUUUUUGUUGAUACUACACUAAAUAUCAUUCAUAGUCUUCAAAGCGGUUUCAUGUUAGUUUGGCAUUGUCUUCUUCUGGCUUCUCUGUUCUUCACAUCUGUCAUCCAUAAAAUUGAAGUAAUAUUACGAAGAGGCACAAGAGUGGCCUGAACAUGACUCUCACUGGGCUCUGUUGCUGUUUUGUCAGCACAAUGCUGUCACAGUGCCCAGUGUUACUUUUAAGUUCUCCACGAUCAGUGGUUUUUCAGGAUGCUUAGAAGCAACUUGCAUACCAAGCAGGAAGAGCACAAAGAAACUGCAGGAUAUUGAACAACGCAGAGCACUGCGCUGCACUUAUAUCAUCACAGCAUCUUACUUCCCUCCCUAAUGUAAAAGGGCAAGUGUGUCACCACAUAAGCAUUCAGCGGUUCCUGCUACACUGUACGCAUAACAGAAAGCCAGGAAGAUUAAUCAUGAUAUCUGAAUCUGUAGGUAUAAUUCCAUGCUCCAGAAGUAGUAUUUGCCUGACCUGGGUAUUAUAUAAGAAACGUAGCUCUUGAUUGCUUUUUUUCUCAAAGAGUUUCUUCAUAAAAAUAUGAAAAAAUACCACAUUUCUGCAUUUCAUGAAAUAUUCACAGACAAUGACAGUUUUGCUGAAAUCAUGUAAUCAGCCAUUCCUAAAUUGGUGCCAUUAUAAUUACUGUUUAUUUGAAAAUCCUCAGAGAAGGACAGAAGAUACGUCUUCAGUUUUGUAAUGAUCAGAGGUUAUUCUCCUGGAUGCUCUUCCAAACACCUGGGUUAACACCUAUGUAAAUCAGAUAAUGCUAAUGUGUGCAUAUUAAUGAAGGUCAAGCAUUACCAUUCCCACAGCUAAUUUUUAAAAAAACUAAUUUCCUCCUUUUGACAGUAUUAUUACCAACAGAUUCUUAUCCUUGCAAGUCCAGACAUAACAGUAAAAAAUAGAAACCUCCUUUAUGCUUCUAAUGCCUCAUCUCUUUUACUUUAAGAUACUCUUGAUUGCUGUUUCCAGUAGUUUGGUCUCCUGUGUUGAGAAAACCUGCUAUCACACAAAGAACCUGGAUUAUCAGGCUUUUGGGGUUUUGUUUUGUUUUGUUUUAUUUUCAGAAAACCUGGGUUUCAGUCCUUUAGCUACAAUUAAAGAUAGUCACUUCUCCUUUGAACUGUAACUUCCGCACGCAGAAAGGAAAGAUGACAGCUUGGUGAAAGUGACCUUUAAAAAGUCAGUUGCUAUGGAUGCAAUCAAAAACAAAACAAAACAAAAAGCAUACACAAAAAAGCCAAAAAAAAUAAAAACAACCACCAAAAAAAAAAAAAAAAGUUU
ensembl:lncRNA